UAAGCAUUUUGAAAGUUAUUUGAGUUGAGUUAUGAUAGUAUGAAUGCUUUUUUUCUUUCUAUCAAAGAAAAUGACAAUUUCUAUAGGGCAUAGGCCUCCCAAAAGGUAAUGGAGGCAUGCAAAGGUUUCCUCGAGCUGGACAGAGAUUGGCCUCGAGUGCAAAGGCAAAAGGGACCUUGACUACAAGAUCCACUCGUCGAGCAGAGAUGAAAGUUGACCUUCGUGAUCCGACGGUGUUGAGUGCAAGAGUCAUCACUCGACGGAUAAAAGUUACUCUAGGGAUAAUAGGCUGAUCUUCUCCAAGAGCUCACAUCGACGGGAAGGUUUGUCACCUUGAUGUUGUCUCUUCACCACCUGGGGCUAUAGUAUGUCCUAAGGGUUGGAUUAUUCACCCAUUAAAGCAGCACAUGAGCUAGAUUUAAAAUGUUGUGAGAUAGUUCGGUCCAUAUUUGGUGUGGGUGUUAGAGCAUUGAGAGGACCUUUCCCUAGUACAAGAGGAUCGGGAAGGACACACCUCUGGUGUACCAAAAGCUCUUCUCUCCCUCUCUAUCUAACCAUGGGACGGAAGGGCGAAGGCCUUUGGUGUCCAUUCCAAUCAAGAAUUAGGGCCUCAUAAUCACUAGCCAAUAUGUGUU
rfam:Gossypium hirsutum cultivar TM-1 chromosome 17, whole genome shotgun sequence